ACGCGAAGAACCUUACCCAGGCUCGAACGGCAUUGGACAUCCUGCGAAAGCAGGCUCCCGCAAGGGCCGAUGUCGAGGUGCUGCAUGGCUGUCGUCAGCUCGUGUCGUGAGAUGUUGGGUUAAGUCCCGCAACGAGCGCAACCCUUGUCCGCUGUUGCCAUCACGUUAUGGUGGGCACUCUGCGGAGACUGCCGGUGAUAAACCGGAGGAAGGUGGGGAUGACGUCAAGUCAGCAUGGCCUUUAUGUCUGGGGCUACACACGUGCUACAAUGGCCGGUACAAACCGUCGCGAUCUCGCAAGAGGGAGCUAAUCGGAGAAAGCCGGUCUCAGUUCGGAUUGCAGGCUGCAACUCGCCUGCAUGAAGUUGGAAUCGCUAGUAAUCGCGGAUCAGCACGCCGCGGUGAAUACGUUCCCGGGCCUUGUA
rnacentral:rRNA from 1 species